UACGGAGGGUGCAAGCGUUAUCCGGAUUCACUGGGUUUAAAGGGUGCGUAGGCGGGCAGGUAAGUCCGUGGUGAAAUCCCCGAGCCUUAACUCGGGAACUGCCAUGGAUACUAUUUGUCUUGAAUAUUGUGGAGGUAAGCGGAAUAUGUCAUGUAGCGGUGAAAUGCUUAGAUAUGACAUAGAACACCAAUUGCGAAGGCAGCUUACUACACAGUUAUUGACGCUGAGGCACGAAAGCGUGGGGAUCAAACAGG
rnacentral:rRNA from 1 species